UACCAGCACCCCGAGUGGUCGGGACGAUUAUUGGGCCUAAAGCAUCCGUAGCCGGUUCUACAAGUCUUCCGUUAAAUCCACCUGCUUAACAGAUGGGCUGCGGAGGAUACUAUGGAGCUAGGAGGCGGGAGAGGCAAGCGGUACUUAGUGGGUAGGGGUAAAAUCCGUUGAUCCAUUGAAGACCACCAGUGGCGAAGGCGGCUUGCCAGAACGCACUCGACGGUGAGGGGUGAAAGCUGGGGGAGCAAACCGG
rnacentral:rRNA from 1 species